rnacentral:rRNA from 1 species
AUUGAACGCUGGCGGCAGGCCUAACACAUGCAAGUCGAGCGGAUGAAGGGAGCUUGCUCCUGGAUUCAGCGGCGGACGGGUGAGUAAUGCCUAGGAAUCUGCCUGGUAGUGGGGGAUAACGUCCGGAAACGGGCGCUAAUACCGCAUACGUCCUGAGGGAGAAAGUGGGGGAUCUUCGGACCUCACGCUAUCAGAUGAGCCUAGGCCGGAUUAGCUAGUUAGUGGGGUAAAGGCCUACCAAGGCGACGAUCCGUAACUGGUCUGAGAGGAUGAUCAGUCACCCUGGAACUGAGACACGGUCCAGGCUCCUACGGGAGGCCGCAGUGGGGAAUAUUGGACAAUGGGCGAGAGCCUGGUCCAGCCAUGCCGCGUGUGUGGAGAAGGUCUUCGGAUUGUAAAGCACUUUAAGUUGGGAGGAAGGGCAGUAAGUUAAUACCUUGCUGUUUUGACGUUACCAACAGAAUAAGCACCGGCUAACUUCGUG